GACGAACGCUGGCGGCGUGCCUAACACAUGCAAGUCGAGCGAGUAGAUUUCCUUCGGGAAUGAAGCUAGCGGCGGACGGGUGAGUAACACGUGGGCAACCUGCCUCAUAGAGGGGAAUAGCCUCCCGAAAGGGAGAUUAAUACCGCAUAAGAUUGUAGCUUCGCAUGAAGUAGCAAUUAAAGGAGCAAUCCGCUAUGAGAUGGGCCCGCGGCGCAUUAGCUAGGUGGUGAGGUAACGGCUCACCAAGGCGACGAUGCGUAGCCGACCUGAGAGGAUGAUCGGCCACAUUGGGACUGAGACACGGCCCAGACUCCUACGGGAGGCAGCAGUGGGGAAUAUUGCACAAUGGGGGAAGCCCUGAUGCAGCAACGCCGCGUGAGUGAUGACGGCCUUCGGGUUGUAAAGCUCUGUCUUCGGGGACGAUAAUGACGGUACCUGAGGAGGAAGCCACGGCUAACUACGUGCCAGCCGCCGCCGUAACAC
rnacentral:rRNA from 1 species